CAGUUUUAAAAAGUUCUUUCUCUUAAAGGAGUAAAGGUGAUGAUUCUAAGUGAUUGGGGAAAAAAUGGAAUAACCAGCUUUCUUUCAAAUGGUUGUUCAAAAGACGCAUUCCCAUAUAAUUUAAAAACAGGCACCAAUGAUGUUUUCAGGAGUCAUUGUUAACUAACGCUUUUUUUCUUCUUGUCAGUGGAGACAACCCCAGUCAGCCACCAGUGGGUCUGUGACAUUGAAAAGGACAUUGCCCAGCGCAGUUGGGGCCGGGACUCCACAUCUACUGCUUGCCCUUGCCAAACAGCUGUGUUCUGAGCAAACAGCGUGAUGACACUCACCUGCAGGAAGCGGAAAUGGGGUCAUGGAGUUGGGCUGCAGUCACAGGUGGGGUCACAAAGAGCUGAUGGCGCCACGGUUCCACCCCAACAGGCGGGCCAGCCUAUCAGGAGAGCGCCAGGACAAUGCCGAAAGAACGUCUGUUGCUCUUAGUAAUGAGCGACAGUUCUCCAGCUGUCGGUGUUGCCUCGACUUCUCCAAGUUUCUGGUGUUUAUGAAGACCCAUAACAGCUGGCUGCAAACUCAACUCCUGAGAAUCGUUUCUGGGAGAAUGCCGAAGACUGCAUUUCAACUCCAAGAAUGGUGAGAAAAGUACAGUUGAAAAUCUCAUUUUAAUAACUUUGUAGUAAUAAUAAUGUCUGCCAUGUGCUGAUUGCCUUGCAAGUGCAGGAUGGUAUGUUAGAGUUUUGUUUUCACUUAUUUCACUUAAAUCUCAUGAUCAACCUGCCAGGGUCACAUUGUUACCCCUACUUUAGUGGUGGUUAGGAUCAGAAGAGGGGAGGUAGUUUGCCCAAGGUUUACAUAGCUAGGAAGUGACAGGGCUGGAAUUCUA
rnacentral:lncRNA from 10 species